rnacentral:rRNA from 1 species
UUCCGUAGGGUGAACCUGCGGAGGGAUCAUUACCGAGUUUACAACUCCCAAACCCCUGUGAACAUACCAAUUGUUGCCUCGGCGGAUCAGCCCGCUCCCGGUAAAACGGGACGGCCCGCCAGAGGACCCCUAAACUCUGUUUCUAUAUGUAACUUCUGAGUAAAACCAUAAAUAAAUCAAAACUUUCAACAACGGAUCUCUUGGUUCUGGCAUCGAUGAAGAACGCAGCAAAAUGCGAUAAGUAAUGUGAAUUGCAGAAUUCAGUGAAUCAUCGAAUCUUUGAACGCACAUUGCGCCCGCCAGUAUUCUGGCGGGCAUGCCUGUUCGAGCGUCAUUUCAACCCUCAAGCCCCCGGGUUUGGUGUUGGGGAUCGGCGAGCCUCACGGCAAGCCGGCCCCGAAAUACAGUGGCGGUCUCGCUGCAGCUUCCAUUGCGUAGUAGUAAAACCCUCGCAACUGGUACGCGGCGCGGCCAAGCCGUUAAACCCCCAACUUCUGAAUGUGACCUCGGAUCAUGAGAUGCCCG